rnacentral:rRNA from 1 species
AACGCGAAGAACCUUACCAACCCUUGACAUCCUGUGCUAACUCCAGAGAUGGAGUGUUCCCUUCGGGGACGCAGUGACAGGUGCUGCAUGGCUGUCGGCAGCUCGUGUCGUGAGAUGUUCGGUUAAGUCCGGCAACGAGCGCAACCCACAUCUUUAGUUGCCAGCAGUUCGGCUGGGCACUCUAGAGAAACUGCCCGUGAUAAGCGGGAGGAAGGUGUGGAUGACGUCAAGUCCUCAUGGCCCUUACGGGUUGGGCUACACACGUGCUACAAUGGUAGUGACAGUGAGUUAAUCUCCAAAAGCUAUCUCAGUUCGGAUUGGGGUCUGCAACUCGACCCCAUGAAGUCGGAAUCGCUAGUAAUCGCGUAACAGCAUGACGCGGUGAAUACGUUCCCGGGUCUUGUACACA